AUUUUUGUCUGUUUUGAUAGUUUCAUAAAAUUCCGAAAAAUUCUCAAAAAAUUUAAUUGAUGUUAUUAGAUUAAUUUUUGUGUUUUUGUAUUUUUUUUUUCCAUUUAUUUUAAUCGUUUUUUUGUAUUUCAAUUUUUUUUUACUUAAUAGGGACAUUGUCGGUAUUUUCUUAUUUGUUGCUGCAUUGCUGAAUUAGUUGUGUUUUCUCAUUGUUUGUUAAUUUUUUUUCUUUUCUAUUGAGUUUAAU
rnacentral:lncRNA from 1 species